rnacentral:misc_RNA from 1 species
GAUGAAGAACGCAGCGAAAUGCGAUAAGUAAUGUGAAUUGCAGAAUUCAGUGAAUCAUCGAAUCUUUGAACGCAUCUUGCGCUCCUUGGUAUUCUGAGGAGCAUGCCUGUUUGAGUGUCAUUAAAUUCUCAACUACACUGACUUUGAAUUGGUGUGGCUUGGAUUUGGGGGGAAAAUUGUUGUGGGCUUUUUGUAUAGUCUGCUCCCCUGAAAUUGAUUAGCGGUACCUUUGUGGAACUGUCUACAGGUGUGAUAAUUAUCUACAUCUUAGACAUCUGCUGGAAUGCUGCUUUCUAACCUUACUUGUAUUGACAAUCUUGACCUCAAAUCAGGUAGGACUACCCGCUGAACUUAAGCAUAUCAAUAAGCGGAGGA